rnacentral:rRNA from 1 species
UGCCUACGGGACGCAGCAGUGGGGAAUAUUGCACAAUGGGGGGAACCCUGAUGCAGCGACGCCGCGUGAGUGAAGAAGUAUUUCGGUAUGUAAAGCUCUAUCAGCAGGGAAGAAAAUGACGGUACCUGACUAAGAAGCCCCGGCUAACUACGUGCCAGCAGCCGCGGUAAUACGUAGGGGGCAAGCGUUAUCCGGAUUUACUGGGUGUAAAGGGAGCGUAGACGGCAGAGCAAGUCUGAAGUGAAAGCCCGCGGCCCAACU